rnacentral:rRNA from 1 species
UGCCUACGGGACGCAGCAGUGGGGGAUAUUGGACAAUGGGGGAAACCCUGAUCCAGCGACGCCGCGUGAGUGAAGAAGUAUUUCGGUAUGUAAAGCUCUGUCAGCAGGGAAGAAAGAAAUGACGGUACCUGACCAAGAAGCCCCGGCUAACUACGUGCCAGCAGCCGCGGUAACACGUAGGGGGCAAGCGUUAUCCGGAAUUACUGGGUGUAAAGGGAGCGUAGACGGUGAUGCAAGUCUGGAGGGAAAGGCGGGGGCCCAACCCCCGGACUGCUCUGGAAACUGUAUGAGUUGGGUGAAGGAGG